CAGAAACUGUGGUGGCAACGGAUGAUUGCUGGGUGGAUGCAUUAAGACCACGCAACAAACGUCUUGUUGGAACAUUUCUUGCUGUUGUGGCUGGACUGCUGUAUGGAUCAUCAUUUGUUCCAGUUCUGUAUAUUAAAAAUCAUGCAUCAGAUCCAAACAGCCAAUACAGUGGGGCUAGCCAGUUUGAUCUGGAUUAUGUCUUUGCACAAUAUAGUGGGAUUUUCCUCACUAGUACAGUGUAUUUCCUCCUGUACUGUGCCAUCAAAAAAAACAGACCUCAAGUUUUUUUCUAGAGCAGUACUGCCAGGUAACACCAACACUUCAAUUUAAAGGAAUAGUUGACCCAGAAAUGUGCUGACCGUUUUUCUGAAAAUGUACUUUCUG